AGAGUUUGAUCAUGGCUCAGGACUAACGCUGGCAGCGUGUCUUAGACAUGCAAGUCGAACGGCAGCAGGCCGCCUUCGGGUGGUGCUGGCGAGUGGCGAACGGGUGAGUAAUAAAAAAGUAACUUACCCCAGAGUGGAGCAUAAUUCGCCGAAAGGCGAACUAAUUCUCCAUAUUCUCCACUGACGCAAGUUGGUGGAGGAAAGGCUUCGGUCGCUCUGGGAUAGGCUUUUUUCCUAUCAGCUUGUUGGCGGGGUAAAGGCCCACCAAGGCUAUGACAGGUAGGGGGUGUGAGAGCACGACCCCCCACAUGGGAACUGAGACACGGUCCCAACUCCUACGGGAGGCAGCAGUCUAGAAAUUUGGGCAAUGGGCGCAAGCCUGACCCAGCGACGCUGCGUGAGGGAUGAAGUCCUUCGGGAUGUAAACCUCUGUUGAGGGGGACGAUAAUGACGGUACCCCUCGAGGAAGCCUCGGCUAACUCCGUGCCAGCAGCCGCGGUAAUACGGAGGAGGCAAGCGUUGUCCG
rnacentral:rRNA from 1 species